CAGCAUCCAUUAGAGAUGGUAAAAGGGGAAUGUAGUUGGACUCUUUCCUAUUUUGCUGUGCAUGGGGAACUUCAUGAAUUUAUAGUCUGGGCAUAUUGUUAAAUCUCUCACCACGCCUUCUUGCUUGAUUCCCGUGAUUCCCUCCUCGAACUUUUGGCAUUGCUACAGGAAAUUUGCACUGUGUUUGGCCAUCUAAUCCCUGNCUACAGUUCUGAAGGCAGGGUAUCUUCUGAUUUAUCAGGUUUAUUCUAUAUGUAAUCCGUC
rnacentral:misc_RNA from 1 species